UGGGAAUAUUGGACAAUGGGCGCAAGCCUGAUCCAGCCAUGCCGCGUGAGUGAUGAAGGCCUUAGGGUUGUAAAGCUCUUUCAGUGGGGAAGAUAAUGACGGUACCCACAGAAGAAGCCCCGGCUAACUUCGUGCCAGCAGCCGCGGUAAUACGAAGGGGGCUAGCGUUGUUCGGAUUUACUGGGCGUAAAGCGCACGUAGGCGGAUCGUUAAGUCAGGGGUGAAAUCCCAGAGCUCAACUCUGGAACUGCCUUUGAUACUGGCGAUCUCGAGUCCGGAAGAGGUGAGUGGAACUCCUAGUGUAGAGGUGGAAUUCGUAGAUAUUAGGAAGAACACCGGUGGCGAAGGCGGCUCACUGGUCCGGAACUGACGCUGAGGUGCGAAAGCGUGGGGAGCAAAACAGGAUUAGAUACCCUGGUAGUCCACGCCGUAAACUAUGAGAGCUAGCCGUUGGAUGGUUUACCAUUCAGUGGCGCAGCUAACGCAUUAAGCUCUCCGCCUGGGGAGUACGGUCGCAAGAUUAAAACUUAAAUGAAUUGACGGGGUCAUAGCUGUUUCCU
rnacentral:rRNA from 1 species